GUGCCAUUGUCCGCCCCCACACCCUCGCCACGGGGCGCGACCGGAAUUUCCCUCCUAAGGUCGGGGCCGAGGGACGGGCCCCCUCCCCAGUAGGGCGCCUGUCCCGGGGCAGAGGAGACGUGGGAGGCGGGGUGCUCCGGGGGCAGGGCUCGGCUUGGCUCUGCUGCCUGGCCUGGGGGGGCUCGGGGAGCGCCCCCUCCCAGCGCAGGGGCUGCCCCUUUGGGCGGACAUGCGGGAGCCCCAGCCCCAUAGUUCCUGUGCCGGGGAGCGGGGGGGGGUCUCUAAGAGCCGGCCAAGGGGGAGGGCCCUUGCGCCCUGGUUCCCCCUGGGUCGCUAGCCCGGGUCCCUUGGGGUACAGGUGGGUUUUUCUACCCAGUGACCGAGAUGAAAACAUUUAACACCUCAUCGAGUCCAGCCGCUGCCCCGCACAGGUUGCAGGGCUGACCAGGGCUUGACCCGGCUGAACUCAUCUGUAAACACCGGGAGUUCGCCUGGGCAGGGGAGUUCCUCGAGGCGGCGCUCGGGAGGUUUGAGAUCUUCUCCUCCCCGGGCAGUCACUUCCCACCGCCCCCAGAAGCGGCCAAGCGUGCGCACUCGCUGGCACCAGCCCGCGUUCCGCGGCGAGGGCGGCAGCUGGCUCCCGCAGCAACCUGACCCCGGGGCAGCCUUGAAGGACAUGCUCCACUGGAAGGGCAAAUCCACGCGCCGGUGCGUUCAAUGCGGCUGAGUAGGGGGUCCCUGCGGACGUGAAGUCUCCAGCGUCCCACAGGCAGUGAUGACAGAAGUGCUGUCUGCUGUCUGAUCCAUCCCCGCCACACCUGAAAUUAUAUAUGGGAAAACUGAGGCCGGCGGGGUAACAUGACUCGGUCCAAGUUGACAGACUGUCGGUGUCAAAGGCUGGAGAGGAAUUCAGGGAGGUUCCUGGCUCCCAGAAACAAGGGAGUAGCCAGAACCUAAGACAGGAAGCGCCAAUGUGGUAGGGGUGAAGAGAAAAAACACACCCCAUGCAAACAAAGAAGAGCGGAGGAACAAAGAAAAGAGAGCAUGGACCAGAACUGCAGGCAGCAUGGGGGAGAAGAGGAAAAAGGACCAUAUACAGGAUGAUGGAAGAACGUUCCGGCCCCACUGAAAAAAGGCACUUUUAACCAUAAACAAGCUCUUCCCUAAAACAACAACACUGAAAAGAAAAGCAGCAUUUUCUAUUACUUGUAAAAUAGCACACCCUCCUCCAAACAGAAAUCCCAACGGUGCAUACAAUAAGAGCUGCAAUAUUUAAAAAAAGUAUAAGAAUAGCCUAGUCUCCAUCCUUAAAAGUAUUAAAUAAGUCUGUUGUAAUAAUUGAGUCUACAAAUUUACCAUGUCUGUGAGCUCAACUUUAAAAGUAAGUAAAAGUUCAUAAGAUGUCACAAUAACCUAUAAUGGCAAAUGCUGAUGGGAAAAGGUACAAAAGGGAGAAAGACUGAAUCAGUCUAAACAAAAAGGCCUUCUGAUGUAACUCAAGGGCUGUGUUAAGAUCAUGCUUGGUAAAGAGGAGGAGCUGACGACCAAAAGUUAUGUUGUCCAUCAGUUAGGUCUAGUAUCCAACAUACUAGGGGAUGGGCAAUUCCACCUAUCACUCCCUUUUGGGAUCCUUAAAGGAACAAACUUUGGGAGAGAAAAAUUGACUCUUGGAUCAAUUUUUACCAUCAUGGCUGCCACGCCCACUGUCUCCUGGACCCCAGACCUUCUUCAUCCUAAUCCUGAGAAAUGUCCUGAGCCAACAGGGCCUGAGAGAGGCAGAUGACAUCGCCACCUCCACCAGUUCCAACUGAAUCCUGAACAUCAUCUCGAAUGUGAGACACCCCCGCCCCAAAAUGCAUCCUUUUUCCUUCCCUGCCUUAUUUCUGUCUGUCCUAUCUCCUUCCUUUUUCCUUCUGUCUAAUAAAAGUCUGGCUCAGCUAGCCAAGACGGCAUAUUUUACAAUAUUGCUAUAAGCCUGUGACAGAAAGAGGCAGAUAAAAGAAAUGCUCUAAAGAGCCUGAUGCUGGUAUGAGUUUGCCAGGUCUCAGAGUGGCUAAUACGACAACGUGCUGGGACUGUGUUUUUCCAGCAGGGAGGUUGCACGUGAAAGUCAACACCAGAGACAGAAGCUACAUUUCUAUCUUGGCUGUUUUCUCUCUCUUUCCUUUGUGUGUUUGUCUUGGUUUGUCUUCUUAGGAACCUGGAUUGGACUUUAACAUCAUGACCAAUAACAACAGCUCCAGCCCAUCUCAACUAGCUUCUCUUUUCUUCAAAAAGGACAAUUAUUGCCAUCUUUAAUACCAUCUAAGAGACUGUCAAACACGGUGGCUUUUCCUUAUACAUACUCUCCAGUUAAAGGAAACAAGAAAUGUUAUAAUGAAAGCCUUCUUGAACUACUUUACAUUUCAAAUGCUUUAACUGUUUUUCCUUCUUAUCUUGAAUAAAAGGUUAAAAAGGA